rnacentral:tRNA from 1 species
GCUCCCGUCGUCUAUCGGCUAGGACGCCGCCUUCUCAAGGCGGAAAGGUUGGUUCGAUUCCAGCCGGGAGCG